rnacentral:sRNA from 1 species
UUAUGCUGCGAAAUGACAAAUAACACACAUACAUCGGCACAUGGGCCGGGGUGCCUGCACUAUCCUGCACAAUAAAGCGGGUUGGUAAGCGGGUCGGAACAUGGGAUGUAUGGAGGCCUAACC